CCUACGGGAGGCAGCAGUGAGGAAUAUUGGUCAAUGGACGAGAGUCUGAACCAGCCAAGUAGCGUGAAGGAUGACUGCCCUCUGGGUUGUAAACUUCUUUUAUAAAGGAAUAAAACGAGGCACGUGUGCCUUUUUGCAUGUACUUUAUGAAUAAGAAUCGGCUAACUCCGUGCCAGCAGCCGCGGUAAUACGGAGGAUCCGAGCGUUAUCCGGAUUUAUUGGGUUUAAAGGGAGCGUAGAUGGGUUGUUAAGUCAGUUGUGAAAGUUUGCGGCUCAACCGUAAAAUUGCAAUUGAUACUGGCAGGCUGGAGUACAGUUGAGGUAGGCGGAAUUCGUGGUGUAGCGGUGAAAUGCUUAGAUAUCACGAAGAACCCCGAUUGCGAAGGCAGCUUACUAAACUGUGACUGACAUUGAUGCUCGAAAGUGUGGGUAUCAAACAGGAUUAGAUACCCGAGUAGUC
rnacentral:rRNA from 1 species